rnacentral:sRNA from 1 species
AACCCCCAGCUAGGCUGGGGGUUCAGUAAAGCUUUCAGCUUUGGGUCAGUUAUAAAACCCCUUUUGAUUUUUUUUUAUUUAGCUUGUCAGGCAAAG